UACAGUGGACUGUGGCAACCAGAUCG
rnacentral:misc_RNA from 1 species